rnacentral:rRNA from 1 species
GACGAACGCUGGCGGCGUGCUUAACACAUGCAAGUCGAGCGGUAAGGCCCUUUCGGGGGUACACGAGCGGCGAACGGGUGAGUAACACGUGGGUGACCUGCCCUCAGCUCUGGGAUAAGCCUGGGAAACCGGGUCUAAUACUGGAUAUGACUCCAUGACGCAUGUUGUGGGGUGGAAAGCCUUGUGCGGCUGAGGAUGGGCCCGCGGCCUAUCAGCUUGUUGGUGGGGNGAUGGCCUACCAAGGCGACGACGGGUAGCCGGCCUGAGAGGGCGACCGGCCACACUGGGACUGAGACACGGCCCAGACUCCUACGGGAAGCAGCAGUGGGGAAUCUUGCGCAAUGGGCGAAAGCCUGACGCAGCGACGCCGCGUGAGGGAUGACGGCCUGGUGU